rnacentral:lncRNA from 1 species
CUCACCAUGAAGAGGUGAAGGAGUAGGAUUUCCUUUGAAGGAUCUUGUAUGUUUAUUUCAGUUACACUGUGGAAGUCCUUGACAGAUGAGAAGAAUAUUGAAGCUGGCUAAGAAGGUCACAGCUGGAAGGCCUGAGCUGCUUUGCUGAGGGGUAGUGGGCCCUGCUGAACAAGACGGCAGUUAACUAUGGCUAACUGAAAACAAGAAAAGUGAAACCACAGGGGGAUGACCACACCUGAGAGAAAACAGCUGGAUGAAUUCCAGUGGAAGCCGACUUGACCUUCAGCUACCAGCCAGUGACCCCAGCUCACAUUGUGUCUGGAAUUGGUAGGUUCUUGGUCUCGCUGACUUCUGGAAUGAAGCCACCAACCU